rnacentral:rRNA from 1 species
AGCAGUAGCCGCGGGAAUACAGAGGGUGCGAGCGUUAAUCGGAUUUACUGGGCGUAAAGCGUGCGUAGGCGGCUUUUUAAGUCGGAUGUGAAAUCCCUGAGCUUAACUUAGGAAUUGCAUUCGAUACUGGGAAGCUAGAGUAUGGGAGAGGAUGGUAGAAUUCCAGGUGUAGCGGUGAAAUGCGUAGAGAUCUGGAGGAAUACCGAUGGCGAAGGCAGCCAUCUGGCCUAAUACUGACGCUGAGGUACGAAAGCAUGGGGAGCAAACAGGAUUAGAUAUCCCCGUAGUCCCUGUCUCUUAUAC